AACGCACAUUGCGCCCGCUAGUAUUCUGGCGGGCAUGCCUGUUCGAGCGUCAUUACAACUAUCAAGCCUUAGGCUUGUGUUGGGGACCUGCGGCUGCCGCAGCCCCCUAAAAGUAGUGGCGGGCUCGCUGUCACACCGAGCGCAGUAGUUUCUCCUCGCAAGGUCGUUACAGCGGGUUCCAGCCGUUAAACGCCCCUAAUUUUUCAAGGUUGACCUCGGAUCAGGUAGGAAUACCCGCUGAACUUAA
rnacentral:misc_RNA from 1 species